rnacentral:rRNA from 1 species
CCUACGGGUGGCAGCAGUGGGGACUAUUGGGCACUGGGCGCAAGCCUGACCCAGCAAUGCCGCGUGAAGGAAGAAGGCUUUCGGGUUGUAAACUUCUUUGACAGGGGAAGAGCAGAAGACGGUACCCUGAAAACAAGCCACGGCUAACUACGUGCCAGCAGCCGCGGUAAUACGGAGGUGGCAAGCGUUGGCCGGAUGUACUGGGGGUAAAGGGCGUGUAGCUGGGAAGGCAAGUCAGAUGUGAAAUCUUGAGGCUCAACCUCCAAAUUGCAUGUGAAAAUGUUUUUCUUGAGUACUGGAGAGGCAGACGGAAUUCCUUGUGUAGCGGUGAAAUGCGUAGAUAUAAGGAGGAACACCAGUGGCGAAGGCGGUCUGCUGGACAGCAACUGACGGUGAGGCGCGAAAGCGUGGGGAGCAAACAGGAUUAGAUACCCGAGUAGUC